rnacentral:rRNA from 1 species
AAUCAACGCUGGCGGCGUGCCUAACACAUGCAAGUCGAACGCGAAAGCCCCGUUCGGGGGUAAGUAGAGUGGCGUCCGGGUGAGUAACACGUGGGUAGUCUGCCUUCGGGUGGGGAAUAACCCAGGGAACUUGGGCUAAUACCGCAUAAUGCAGCGGCACCUAAUGGUGAUUAGUUGUUAAAGCGGGGAUCGCAAGACCUCGCGCCUGAAGAGGAGCCUGCGGCAGAUUAGCUAGNGGUGAGGUAAUGGCUCACCAAGGCAUCGAUCUGUAGCUGGGUCUGAGAGGACGGCCAGCCACACUGGCACUGACACACGGGCCAGACUCCUACGGAGGCAGCAGUGGGGAAUUUUGGGCAAUGGGCGAAAGCCUGACCCAGCAACGCCGCGUGAGGGAGGAAAUCCUUCGGGAUGUAAACCUCACAAGCAAGGGAAGAGAGCU